rnacentral:rRNA from 1 species
UGUAGUCUGCAACUCGACUACAUGAAGCUGGAAUCGCUAGUAAUCGCGAAUCAGCAUGUCGCGGUGAAUGCGUUCCCGGGUCUUGUACACACCGCCCGUCACACCAUGGGAGUUGGUAACGCCCGAAGCCAGUGACCCAACCUCUAGAGGAGGGAGCUGUCGAAGGUGGGACCGAUAACUGGGGUGAAGUCGUAACAAGGUACC